rnacentral:rRNA from 1 species
CCUACGGGAGGCUGCAGUGGGGAAUAUUGCACAAUGGGGGAAACCCUGAUGCAGCGACGCCGCGUGAGUGAAGAAGUAUUUCGGUAUGUAAAGCUCUGUCAGCAGGGAAGACAAUGACGGUACCUGACCAAGAAGCCCCGGCUAACUACGUGCCAGCAGCCGCGGUAAUACGCAGGGUGCAAGCGUUAUCCGGAUUUACUGGUUGUAACGGGAGCGUAGACGGCAGGGCAAGUCUGGAGUGAAAGGCGGGGGCUCAACCCCCGGACUGCUCUGGAAACUGCCAGGCUGGAGUGCAGGAGAGGUGAGUGGAAUUCCUGGUGUAGCGGUGAAAUGCGUAGAGAUUAGGAGGAACACCAGUGGCGAAGGCGGCUUACUGGACUGUAACUGACGUUGAGGCUCGAAAGCGUGGGGAGCAAACAGGAUUAGAUACCCUUGUAGUC